CGGCGGGCUAGCCCGGGUAACUCGGCGUUACCUGUAACCCGAAACCGUCGAUAGCGGGGGGCGAAGCCGAGGGAAGAAGUUUUGACUGCUGCCCAACCCGCAGAAUCUACUGUGAAACCCCGUCCUAUGGGGCUGGCGUUGGCACAGAGGCUUUUCUGAAGGAAGGUCUUUGUGUCUUAAUCGCGGAUACCGGUUCAGGCCCGGAAGGGAGCAAACCAGCCGUGUACAACUAUCGCUCAUGGGGGCGCGGGGCGGAGGCGAAUCUGCGAACCACUGGGCGGCGGAAGAGGCUGCGACCCAAGGCGCGCCUGCUA
rnacentral:SRP_RNA from 1 species